rnacentral:rRNA from 1 species
UACGAAGGGGGCGAGCGUUGUUCGGAAUUACUGGGCGUAAAGGGCGCGCAGGCGGUCCUUCAAGUCAGAUGUGGAAGCCCCGGGCUCAACCUGGGAACUGCAUUUGAGACUGGAGGACUUGAGGACGGGAGAGGAGAGUGGAAUUCCCAGUGUAGAGGUGAAAUUCGUAGAUAUUGGGAAGAACACCGAUGGCGAAGGCAGCUCUCUGGGCCAUUACUGACGCUGAGGAGCGAAAGCGUGGGGAGCGAACAGG